UCAUUUCCAACUGCAACAUAUCUGUCCAAAGACAAAUUGUGUCAAGUUACACCAAUAAAUAAUGCAAAAGCACUAGUCAUACAAAAGAACUAUAUUGCAGAAUCCUGUAUAUGCUUAUUAGUCAAUCCAGCAUGAGUAAGAAUGCAGCAAGAGCUACAAGUGAACCUGUUCUCUUUUCUCUUAAACAUUUAGAAGUUGAAGUUUUCUCACCCUUCUAUUAAAAACAAGACAAAAUAUGUGCAGUUUAAAGUUGGGAUAUAUGCUUCUUGCCUAUGUACAGAUAAAUAAGUCAAGAUGCCAAAAUGUGUUCGUACACUUUCAAACAAUCCUGUACAGAAAGGCCCGUCAUUCUACUACUCAAUGAAGACUAUUAUUAGUCAUGAAUUCUAGAAAGAUAAUUGAAAAGUACGUAAAUUUUUAUAUUAUUUUAUGCAGGGUCAAAGCACAUAAAGAAAGAUGCCAAUUAAUGAUCUCUAUUGUGCUACAUUGAGCUAUUAAUAAGCAUUAUUAUUACUAGGUUCAAAAAACUAGCUAAAAAUAUGUACAUGGCUGAAAAUUUAAUG
rnacentral:misc_RNA from 1 species